rnacentral:rRNA from 1 species
AUAUUACUAAGCGGAGGAAAAGAAACCAACGGGGAUUCCCAUAGUAACUGCGAGUGAAAUGGGAAGGGCCCAGCGCUGAAUCCGGGGGCUGGCAACGGUCCUCGGAGCUGUAGCGUGAAGGUGGUUCUAAUCUGUGCGGCUGGCUAGCGUAAGUUCUCCUGAGCGAGACUCACUGCCAUGGACG